CUGUGAGGAUCCGCGCUGACUCGUCCGCCCCUCCUUCCUCUGCUCCCUUCUUCUUCCUCCUCCUCCUCCCCUCACUGCCCCACAGAGCCAGGGCCAGACCCAAAACGUGCUCCCCUCUAGCGAGGCACCAAGGAAAUUAACUUCAGACCUCUCCUUGUGCCUGGCGAAAUGUAUCCAAUACCUUUUUUAUUUUUCUUUCCUUGCAAACCCCAUGGGAAAUGUUAAGGCUGUAAAGUAACAAACGUUAUCACUGAGUUUUUGGAAAACACCUCCCCCCUGGUUCAUCCUGAGAUAAUGGGGGCAUAGCCACACUUCCUGCAGGGAGUUUGGUGUUUCCCUGAUGCUGUGCAGAGCAGGGGCAGGCUGGGCUGAGCCAGGGCAGAGGAGUUAACCCGGAGCUCUGUGAGAUGGAGUGGAGGGUGACGAAGCAGCUCUGCAGUGUUCACACCCAGGUGCCAGCCUCUCUUAACACUUUUCUCCCCAAAGCAGCAGCUGCUUAGAUGCUUCUGCACUAGUGCAAUAUGACCUCCCUCCCCUCUCUUUUUCCCUCUGCUGAAGAUGGGCAGGGAAGGUGGGAUGUGCAAAGGUCCUGGUGCAAACCUGCUGUGGGGAGGCCACUCUUUGCCNAGGAGUGUCCCUAAGGUGCAGUCUUUGUCCCUGUCCACUCUUUGCAGAGGAGUGUCCCUAAGGUGCUUUAUUUGCCCAAGGGCUCUGGACAGCACUGACCUGCUCUCCACACUCGGAGCUGAAGGCAGAUUGCCUUUUUCCUCACCUCCCUCCAGCCUGCUCCCCCUCCCCUGCCUCGCCAGGGGCUCCCUGGUGAAUCGUUCAGGAAGCUCUGCCUGUUGCCACCUGCCCAAAAUCACUGCCAAAUCUGCCUUCCCUGCUGCUGGACACUCAUCGACCCUGCCCAAGGGCUCUCCCAUCCUGCUGCUGCCCACUGGACUGUGA
rnacentral:lncRNA from 1 species